rnacentral:rRNA from 1 species
AUUGAACGCUGGCGGCAGGCCUAACACAUGCAAGUCGAACGGUAACAGAAAGCAGCUUGCUGCUUUGCUGACGAGUGGCGGACGGGUGAGUAAUGUCUGGGAAACUUCCUGAUGGAGGGGGAUAACUACUGGAAACGGUAGCUAAUACCGCAUAACGUCGCAAGACCAAAGAGGGGGACCUUCGGGCCUCUUGCCAUCGGAUGUGCCCAGAUGGGAUUAGCUAGUAGGUGGGGUAACGGCUCACCUAGGCGACGAUCCCUAGCUGGUCUGAGAGGAUGACCAGCCACACUGGAACUGAGACACGGUCCAGACUCCUACGGGAGGCAGCAGUGGGGAAUAUUGCACAAUGGGCGCAAGCCUGAUGCAGCCAUGCCGCGUGUAUGAAGAAGGCCUUCGGGUUGUAAAGUACUUUCAGCGGGGAGGAAGGGAGUAAAGUUAAUACCGUUGCUCAUUGACGUUACCCGCAGAAGAAGCACCGGCUAACUCCGUG